rnacentral:rRNA from 1 species
AGGUUGUGGUCUUGAACCGUGGCUUCUGGAGCUAACGCGUUAAAUCGACCGCCUGGGGAGUACGGCCGCAAGGUUAAAACUCAAAUGAAUUGACGGGGGCCCGCACAAGCGGUGGAGCAUGUGGUUUAAUUCGAUGCAACGCGAAGAACCUUACCUACUCUUGACAUCCAGAGAAUCCUUUAGAGAUAGAGGAGUGCCUUCGGGAACUCUGAGACAGGUGCUGCAUGGCUGUCGUCAGCUCGUGUUGUGAAAUGUUGGGUUAAGUCCCGCAACGAGCGCAACCCUUAUCCUUUGUUGCCAGCGCGUGAUGGCGGGAACUCAAAGGAGACUGCCGGUGAUAAACCGGAGGAAGGUGGGGAUGACGUCAAGUCAUCAUGGCCCUUACGAGUAGGGCUACACACGUGCUACAAUGGCAGAUACAAAGAGAAGCGACCUCGCGAGAGCAAGCGGAACUCAUAAAGUCUGUCGUAGUCCGGAUUGGAGUCUGCAACUCGACUCCAUGAAGUCGGAAUCGCUAGUAAUCGUAGAUCAGAAUGCUACGGUGAAUACGUUCCCGGGCCUUGUACACACCGCCCGUCACACCAUGGGAGUGGGUUGCAAAAGAAGUAGGUAGCUUAACCUUCGGGAGGGCGCUUACCACUUUGUGAUUCAUGACUGGGGUGAAGUCGUACAGGGA